GAUGAACGCUGGCGGCGGGCUUAACACAUGCAAGUCGAACGAGUGGGAACGCGUGAGUAAAACGUGGGUAACCUCCCCAUCAGAGGGGAUAACACUUGGAAACAGGUGCUAAACCGCUACUGAUGGAGGGACCCGCGGUUCAUUAGCGAGUUGGUGAGGUAACGGCUCACCAAGGCCACGAUGCUUAGCCGAUCUGAGAGGAUGAUCGGCCACCCUGGAACUGAGACACGGCCCAGACUCCUACGGGAGGCAGCAGUGGGGAAUCUUCGGCAAUGGACGAAAGUCUGACCGAGCAACGCCGCGUGAGUGAAGAAGGUUUUCGGAUCGUAAAGCUCUGUUGUUAGGGAAGCGGUAUCUAACCAGAAAGCCACGGCUAACUACGUGCCAGCAGCCGCGGUAAUUC
rnacentral:rRNA from 1 species